rnacentral:rRNA from 1 species
AGGACGAACGCUGGCGGCGUGCUUAACACAUGCAAGUCGAGCGGAAAGGCCCACUUGUGGGUACUCGAGCGGCGAACGGGUGAGUAACACGUGAGUAAUCUGCCCUUCACUCAGGGAUAACUUCCAGAAAUGGGUGCUAAUACCUGAUAUGACCUGUCCCUGCAUGGGGGUGGGUGGAAAGUUUUUUCGGUGGGGAUGUGCUCGCGGCCUAUCAGCUUGUUGGUGGGGUGAUGGCCUACCAAGGCGACGACGGGUAGCCGGCCUGAGAGGGCGACCGGCCACGACUGGGACUGAGACACGGCCCAGACUCCUACGGGAGGCAGCAGUGGGGGAAUAUUGCACAAUGGGCGCAAGCCUGAUGCAGCGACGCCGCGUGAGGGAUGACGGCCUUCGGUUGUAAACCUCUUUCAGCAGGGACGAAGCGUGAGUGACGGUACCUGCAGAAGAAGCGCCGGCCAACUACGUGCCAGCAGCCGC